CCCGAGACUCAGUGAAAUUGAACUCGCUGUGAAGAUGCAGUGUACCCGCGGCAAGACGGAAAGACCCCGUGAACCUUUACUAUAGCUUGACACUGAACAUUGAGCCUUGAUGUGUAGGAUAGGUGGGAGGCUUUGAAGUGUGGACGCCAGUCUGCAUGGAGCCGGCCUUGAAAUACCACCCUUUAAUGUUUGAUGUUCUAACGUGGACCCGUGAUCCGGGUUGCGGACAGUGUCUGGUGGGUAGUUUGACUGGGGCGGUCUCCUCCUAAAGAGUAACGGAGGAGCACGAAGGUUGGCUAAUCCUGGUCGGACAUCAGGAGGUUAGUGCAAUGGCAUAAGCCAGCUUGACUGCGAGCGUGACGGCGCGAGCAGGUGCGAAAGCAGGUCAUAGUGAUCCGGUGGUUCUGAAUGGAAGGGCCAUCGCUCAACGGAUAAAAGGUACUCCGGGGAUAACAGGCUGAUACCGCCCAAGAGUUCAUAUCGACGGCGGUGUUUGGCACCUCGAUGUCGGCUCAUCACAUCCUGGGGCUGAAGUAGGUCCCAAGGGUAUGGCUGUUCGCCAUUUAAAGUGGUACGCGAGCUGGGUUUAGAACGUCGUGAGACAGUUCGGUCCCUAUCUGCCGUGGGCGCUGGAGAACUGAGGGGGGCUGCUCCUAGUACGAGAGGACCGGAGUGGACGCAUCACUGGUGUUCGGGUUGUCAUGCCAAUGGCACUGCCCGGUAGCUAAAUGCGGAAGAGAUAAGUGCUGAAAGCAUCUAAGCACGAAACUUGCCCCGAGAUGAGUUCUCCCUGACCCUUUAAGGGUCCUGAAGGAACGUUGAAGACGACGACGUUGAUAGGCCGGGUGUGUAAGCGCAGCGAUGCGUUGAGCUAACCGGUACUAAUGAACCGUGAGG
rnacentral:rRNA from 2 species